rnacentral:rRNA from 1 species
UUGUCUCAAAGAUUAAGCCAUGCAUGUCUCAGUACAAGCCAAAUUAAGGUGAAACCGCGAAAGGCUCAUUAAAUCAGUUAUGGUUCCUUAGAUGGUACCCACAUUUACUUGGAUAACUGUGGUAAUUCUAGAGCUAAUACAUGCAAACAGAGUUCCGACCGGAGACGGAAGGAAACGCUUUUAUUAGAUCAAAACCAAUCGGUAUUUGAUGCAACCUACUCAUGUGGUAGGUGGUGACUUUUGUCGUACAUUUUGAUGAAUCUGAAUAAAUUUUUGCUGAUCGCACGGUCUUGCACCGGCGACGCAUCUUUCAAAUGUCUGCCUUAUCAACUGUCGAUGGUAGGUUCUGUGCCUACCAUGGUUGUAACGGGUAACGGGGAAUCAGGGUUCGAUUCCGGAGAGGGAGCCUGAGAAACGGCUACCACAUCCAAGGAAGGCAGCAGGCGCGCAAAUUACCCACUCCCGGCACGGGGAGGUAGUGACGAAAAAUAACGAUACGGGACUCAUCCGAGGCCCCGUAAUCGGAAUGAGUACACUCUAAAUCCUUUAACGAGUAUCAAUUGGAGGGCAAGUCUGGUGCCAGCAGCUGCGGUAAUUCCAGCUCCAAUAGCGUAUAUUAAAGUUGUUGCGGUUAAAAAGCUCGUAGUCGAAUUUGUGUCCCGUGCCGCCGGUUCAUCGUUCGCGGUGUUGACUGGCGUGUUCACGGGACGUCCUGCCGGUGGGCUUAGUCGAAACGGGGUUACUCGUGUGUAUUGUAUUUUAGUCAGUUGCGUUAAUCCGCUCUGUCUAUAUAUUACGUGUAUGCGUGUUCCCGCUAGGCGGCCCAACUUAAAAUCCCGCCGCGGUGCUCUUUACUGAGUGUCGAGGCGGGCCGGCACGUUUACUUUGAACAAAUUAGAGUGCUUAAAGCAGGCUAAAUUUUGCCUGAAUACUGUGUGCAUGGAAUAAUGGAAUAGGACCUCGGUUCUAUUUUGUUGGUUUUCGGAACCCCGAGGUAAUGAUUAAUAGGAACGGAUGGGGGCAUUCGUAUUGCGACGUUAGAGGUGAAAUUCUUGGAUCGUCGCAAGACGGACAGAAGCGAAAGCAUUUGCCAAAAACGCUUUCAUUGAUCAAGAACGAAAGUUAGAGGUUCGAAGGCGAUCAGAUACCGCCCUAGUUCUAACCAUAAACGAUGCCAGCUAGCGAUCCGCCGACGUUCCUCCGAUGACACGGCGGGCAGCUUCCGGGAAACCAAAGCUUUUGGGUUCCGGGGGAAGUAUGGUUGCAAAGCUGAAACUUAAAGGAAUUGACGGAAGGGCACCACCAGGAGUGGAGCCUGCGGCUUAAUUUGACUCAACACGGGAAACCUCACCAGGCCCGGACACCGGAAGGAUUGACAGAUUGACAGCUCUUUCUUGAUUCGGUGGGUGGUGGUGCAUGGCCGUUCUUAGUUGGUGGAGCGAUUUGUCUGGUUAAUUCCGAUAACGAACGAGACUCUACCCUGUUAAAUAGGCGUAUUUCCGACAUCUCGAAGGCCCGUCGAUCAUUGAUUUUCCAAUUCUCUUCUCCUUUUCAUUCCGAGGAGGUUGAGGGGUUGUUGGGGUCGUGGUUGUGCGCGGUUUUUACUAUCGGCGUAUAAACAAAUCUUCUUAGAGGGACAGGCGGCUUCUAGCCGCACGAGAUUGAGCAAUAACAGGUCUGUGAUGCCCUUAGAUGUUCUGGGCCGCACGCGCGCUACACUGAAGGAAUCAGCGUGUCCUCCCUGACCGAGAGGUCCGGGAAACCCGCUGAACCUCCUUCGUGCUAGGGAUUGGGGCUUGCAAUUGUUCCCCAUAAACGAGGAAUUCCCAGUAAACGCGAGUCAUAAGCUCGCGUUGAUUACGUCCCUGCCCUUUGUACACACCGCCCGUCGCUACUACCGAUUGAAUGAUUUAGUGAGGUCUUCGGACCGGUACGCGGUGGCGUUUCGACGUUGCCGAUGCUGCUGGGAAGAUGACCAAACUUGAUCAUUU